AGAGUUUGAUCCUGGCUCAGAUUGAACGCUGGCGGCAUGCCUUACACAUGCAAGUCGAACGGCAGCGCGGGAGCAAUCCUGGCGGCGAGUGGCGAACGGGUGAGUAAUACAUCGGAACGUGCCCAAUCGUGGGGGAUAACGCAGCGAAAGCUGUGCUAAUACCGCAUACGAUCUACGGAUGAAAGCAGGGGAUCGCAAGACCUUGCGCGAAUGGAGCGGCCGAUGGCAGAUUAGGUAGUUGGUGAGGUAAAGGCUCGCCAAGCCUUCGAUCUGUAGCUGGUCUGAGAGGACGACCAGCCACACUGGGACUGAGACACGGCCCAGACUCCUACGGGAGGCAGCAGUGGGGAAUUUUGGACAAUGGGCGAAAGCCUGAUCCAGCCAUGCCGCGUGCAGGAUGAAGGCCUUCGGGUUGUAAACUGCUUUUGUACGGAACGAAACGGCCUUUUCUAAUAAAGAGGGCUAAUGACGGUACCGUAAGAAUAAGCACCGGCUAAUUACGUGCCAGCAGCCGCGGUAAU
rnacentral:rRNA from 1 species